UGAGCAUGCUUGGCAGUUUCUCAGAU
rnacentral:piRNA from 1 species